rnacentral:tRNA from 1 species
GCGGAUGUGGCCUAAUGGUAUGGCAUCAGCUUCCCAAGCUGAGGGCUGCGGGUCCGAGUCCCGUCAUCCGCUCCA